rnacentral:rRNA from 1 species
UACGAAGGGGGCUAGCGUUGCUCGGAAUCACUGGGCGUAAAGCGCACGUAGGCGGAUUGCUAAGUCAGGGGUGAAAUCCUGGAGCUCAACUCCAGAACUGCCUUUGAUACUGGCGAUCUUGAGUCCGGGAGAGGUGAGUGGAACUGCGAGUGUAGAGGUGAAAUUCGUAGAUAUUCGCAAGAACACCAGUGGCGAAGGCGGCUCACUGGCUCGAUACUGACGCUGAGGUGCGAAAGCUAGGGGAGCAAACGGG